rnacentral:sRNA from 1 species
CCACCUCCUAUGCUGCCAUGGCAGCUAGG